rnacentral:lncRNA from 1 species
UUGCAGAGGAAGUUUCUCUGGCAGUCAGCCUGCUCCCUCUACUUGUCUCUGUUGGUGGAGACUGAACACAAAGUGCAGUGACUCAGAAGCCUUUGAGAGGGUGACUGGGGGCCUGGCCACCGCAAGGCACAGAGGCAGCGAGAUGGAACGACCCAAAACGACAGUGUGCUGGGGAAAGAAGAAAUCAAGGCAGAAGGAAGAAGAAAAUGAACUUCAAGAAAUUCUGCCCAGUGAGCCUCAACAGCCCAAAGACCGUUUUUCAAAAUUCAGUGGGUGGCUUAUGAAAGUCCCCAGGAAAAGAAAACCAGACACUGCUAUUCAUCAGAAAGAAACUCCCAAAGGUGACACAGUGCAAAGCCUACCAGUCUCCUGCAACCAUAGUAAGAAAUCUGUGGCCUUCCGAUCUGACUGGCUACAUAGACCCCUGUUCCCAAAGCUUCUUCAAACUGGCCGCCUUGGCCUCUUGCUGGUUCCCCUGAUGGAUUUCCAAAAGUUGGUACAGAAGGGGCAGUUCCUGGAAGCCUGCCAGAGCAUCUCGGAGUUGUCACAGGAAGGGCAGGACUGUGGUCUCCAGUACAAGGUUGUGGCUGAGAGCAUGUGGCAGGUCAUCAAGGAGGCUCUGGGAGGCAUUGGGUACAGCCAGAAGCUGGAGCUAAAGCUCCAGGCAGUGGUGGCCACUGUGGAGUGGGUGGAGGACAACCCCCAGAGCUGGGAGGCCAGCGCCCUCGAGGAUGGUGGAGUUGCUUUCUGGGGAAGUCAUCUGGAGAGGCUCCUGAGAACAGAUGCUGAGGACCAAUUGCCCACUAUGAAGCCAAGCACCCAGCUGCGCCCGUACCUGAAGGAGCUGGACAAAGCUGUGGGACACAGCCUAGGGUCCCAGAGGGCAGGCCGGAUGGGGGCCCCCCUCUGGGAAAUCUACAGGACGUGUUUCCAGGAGGUCCUCCUCAGCCGCCUCUCCGAGCUCCCUUCCUCCUACAGUCACGACAGGGAAGCCUACUUUGAGCUGUACAACUGGGGCAAGACGACCUUGUUUGGGCAGCUGGGCAGGGAGAUGCUUCAGAGAGUAGGUCCCACCUCCCAGAAGUCCAUGGCCGGGAACCUCUUGGACUCAAUGAUGUUCAUUACCUGGAUAUUCCAAAUGCAGGAGAAGCUGGUGGGGCUGAUCCAGGAGGAGUUGAAAAAGUGUCUAGAAAAUGUUCUGAUCUGUGAUCAGAAAAAGUGGACCGAGUCUGCCUCCUCAGUGUUCCUUGAAAUCUACCAGCUACUGAAAGAAGCUGUAGAUGCAGUCCGACACAUUGGGCCAUCCGUCACCAGACGGGUUCAAGCCAUGGUUCUGGAAACAUUUUCAAAGUUUCUGGAAAGCUACAAGGAUAAGGCUGAAGUCUUCAUCCAGCAGAACGCCAGUGACCACACCUUUCCCGAGCUGCAUGUGCUGGAAAACUGCUGCAUCCUCAGGAAGACAUGGUGGUGGCUGAGCAGGGCGCACGUUCCCUGGGCACGCUUGGACCCAGCUGUGCAAGGUGCCAUCAAAGGCAUUGAGGACCAUGGCCGGGACCACCUCCUGCCUCGAGUCAGAGCCCUGUGCCAGAGUCUGCUGAGUUGUCACUUCGGAGAGAAGAACAAGGAUCUGGUCCAAUCUCUGCGGUCCCUGUGGCAGAGCCUGGAGCACUGCCCCAACAUGCACCCUACUCCCACAUACGAGAGCCUUGUGAGGAGUCUGAAUAUGGUGGUCUUUGGGGAGUACGUCCAGGCCCUGGCUGCUUAUCUCAGGAGGCUGGUGCCCAGGACUUCGGGGCACCUCCGUGAUCAGGUGGAAACGGACAUCUGGAAGCUGGGCACCACCUUUAGGGAGCACAGGGGCCCGGCUUUGGACAAUCUACAGGAGUACAUCCUCCAGCUCAGUGAGAGCAGAGACAGACAGACUGUGGAUCAGCGGCUGGCCUCCUUCAGUGACAGUUUCCCUGGUUAUCUGAGGGCCUGCUGGCACCGUUGCUGCCCUAGCAGACGUGGAUGUGAGCUCUAG